CCUACGGGAGGCAGCAGUGAGGAAUAUUGGUCAAUGGGCGCGAGCCUGAACCAGCCAAGUCGCGUGAAUGAUGACUGCCCUACGGGUUGUAAACUUCUUUUAUAAAGGAAUAAAGUGAGGCACGUGUGCCUUUUUGUAUUUACUUUAUGAAUAAGGAUCGGCUAACUCCGUGCCAGCAGCCGCGGUAAUACGGAGGAUCCGAGCGUUAUCCGGAUUUAUUGGGUUUAAAGGGAGCGUAGAUGGGUUGUUAAGUCAGUUGUGAAAGUUUGCGGCUCAACCGUAAAAUUGCAAUUGAUACUGGCAGUCUAGAGUACAGUAGAGGUAGGCGGAAUUCGUGGUGUAGCGGUGAAAUGCGUAGAUAUCACGAAGAACCCCGAUUGCGAAGGCAGCUUACUAAGAUGUGACUGACAUUGAUGCUCGAAAGUGUGGGGAUCAAACAGGAUUAGAUACCCGUGUAGUC
rnacentral:rRNA from 1 species